rnacentral:rRNA from 5 species
AGAACGACUCUCGGCAACGGAUAUCUCGGCUCUCGCAUCGAUGAAGAACGUAGCGAAAUGCGAUACUUGGUGUGAAUUGCAGAAUCCCGUGAACCAUCGAGUCUUUGAACGCAAGUUGCGCCCGAAGCCUUCUGGCCGAGGGCACGUCUGUCUGGGCGUCACGC